rnacentral:rRNA from 1 species
UACGAAGGGGGCUAGCGUUGCUCGGAAUCACUGGGCGUAAAGGGUGCGUAGGCGGGUCUUUAAGUCAGGGGUGAAAUCCUGGAGCUCAACUCCAGAACUGCCUUUGAUACUGAAGAUCUUGAGUUCGGGAGAGGUGAGUGGAACUGCGAGUGUAGAGGUGAAAUUCGUAGAUAUUCGCAAGAACACCCGUGGCGAAAGCGGCUCUCUGGAACGGUACUGACGCUGAGACGCGAAAGCGUGGGGAGCGAACAGG